GUGGGGAAUAUUGGAUAAUGGGCGAAAGCCUGAUCCAGCCAUGCCGCGUGUGUGAAGAAGGUCUUCGGAUUGUAAAGCACUUUAAGUUGGGAGGAAGGGCAGUAAGUUAAUACCUUGCUGUUUUGACGUUACCGACAGAAUAAGCACCGGCUAACUUCGUGCCAGCAGCCGCGGUAAUACGAAGGGUGCAAGCGUUAAUCGGAAUUACUGGGCGUAAAGCGCGCGUAGGUGGUUUUGUAAGUUGGAGGUGAAAUCCCCGGGCUCAACCUGGGAACUGCCUCCAAAACUGCAUGACUAGAGUACGGUAGAGGGUAGUGGAAUUUCCUGAGUAGCGGUGAAAUGCGUAGAUAUAGGAAGGAACACCAGUGGCGAAGGCGACUACCUGGACUGAUACUGACACUGAGGUGCGAAAGCGUGGGGAGCAAACAGGAUUAGAAACCCGGGUAGUCC
rnacentral:rRNA from 1 species